rnacentral:rRNA from 1 species
AUUGGACGCUGGGCGGCAUGCCUUACACAUGCAAGUCGAACGGCAGCGGACCUUCGGGUGCCGGCGAGUGGCGAACGGGUGAGUAAUGCAUCGGAACGUGCCAUUGAGGUGGGGGAUAACGUAGCGAAAGUUACGCUAAUACCGCAUAUUCUGUGAGCAGGAAAGCAGGGGACCGCAAGGCCUUGCGCUCUUUGAGCGGCCGAUGUCAGAUUAGCUAGUUGGUGAGGUAAAGGCUUACCAAGGCGACGAUCUGUAGCGGGUCUGAGAGGAUGAUCCGUCACACUGGAACUGAGACACGGUCCAGACUCCUACGGGAGGCAGCAGUGGGGAAUUUUGGACAAUGGGCGCAAGCCUGAUCCAGCCAUGCCGCGUGAGUGAAGAA